rnacentral:rRNA from 1 species
GUGAUCCGGUGGUUCCGCAUGGAAGGGCCAUCGCUCAACGGAUAAAAGCUACCCCGGGGAUAACAGGCUUAUCUCCCCCAAGAGUUCACAUCGACGGGGAGGUUUGGCACCUCGAUGUCGGCUCAUCGCAUCCUGGGGCUGUAGUCGGUCCCAAGGGUUGGGCUGUUCGCCCAUUAAAGCGGUACGCGAGCUGGGUUCAGAACGUCGUGAGACAGUUCGGUCCCUAUCCGUCGUGGGCGUAGGAAAUUUGAGAGGAGCUGUCCUUAGUACGAGAGGACCGGGAUGGACAUACCUCUGGUGUACCAGUUGUCGUGCCAACGGCAUAGCUGGGUAGCUAUGUGUGGACGGGAUAAGUGCUGAAAGCAUCUAAGCAUGAAGCCCCCCUCAAGAUGAGAUUUCCCAACUUCGGUUAUAAGAUCCCUCAAAGAUGAUGAGGUUAAUAGGUUCGAGGUGGAAGCAUGGUGACAUGUGGAGCUGACGAAUACUAA